AAAGAUCCACUUUCAAACUCCUGUGGCAGUUGGCCAGAUUUCAUUCCUUGCAAGGUUGUUGGACUGAGGGCUUCAGUUUCCUGGCCGCAGUUGUCCAGUGCCAGCCCCCAGUUUCUUGUCACAUGGUCUCUCCGUGGAGUAGCUCACAACACAGCAGCUGGCCUUACCAAAGCUACCCUGGGACAGGGUCUGCUAGCAAGAUGGAAGUUACAGUCCUCUGUGAAGUCAUGGGAACAUGGCGGCCUUGGCUGCAUUCCGUUGGUUAGAAGUACAUCACAGGUUCUGCCCGCGCUCAAGGGGAGGGAUUCCUCGGAGGCAUGAAUACCUGGUGGCAAGAUUCAUGGCGCCAUUUAGAGUCUGUCCACCACAGAGGUCAGUAAACGUCAGUAAACUCAGAGAAAGGCAUCACCAAAACACAUACUGAUUUUGAGGGAAGAGAUACCAGAGGAGUCAUCCUGUUAGGUGCUAAGGGUGUGCGCUGCAGGGCGGUCCAGGAAACACACAGUAAAAAUGCCAUGGGCCCUCCGGCCCCACCCCACACAGCUCUCCAGGAGAUUCCAGCAUUCGGAACACACAGAGAAACAUCGGAAGAUCUCCCAGGGAGAUGUCUAGAUUAGAUUUGAAGGAAGCACAGGAUUUACAGGAUACAGGACGGCUGCCCUACUGUUACCCCUCCCCCAGGCCACCCCUCCUCCAGCCGGGAUUGCCCAGCUCCGAGCCCCUUCUCCCAGGCUGCUGUGCCACAGCACCUGCUUUGGAAAGGUUCUCAGGCCCAGAUCUCCCUUCCUGAACUUCAGAUGUCCAAGCUCCUGUUUUGUUUUGUUCCUCAUGGGGAAGGAAAGACAGGGUGACUCCCGGAGGAGAGAGAAGAGGGAGAAGUGGAGAGGGGUGAGAAUAAUAAACCUGCACAUCUGUAAAGCCCAAGACACUUGGCAAAAGGAUUUUAUCCAUAUUAUUUUAGAGACGAGAAGAGGCAUUCCUACCUUGGGGCACUGAAACUACAGGUGAUCUUUGUUUUCCUUUUUUGCUUUUCUCUAUUAUCAGAA